rnacentral:rRNA from 1 species
ACGCAACGCGAAGAACCUUACCUACUCUUGACAUCCAGAGAACUUUCCAGAGAUGGAUUGGUGCCUUCGGGAACUCUGAGACAGGUGCUGCAUGGCUGUCGUCAGCUCGUGUUGUGAAAUGUUGGGUUAAGUCCU